rnacentral:rRNA from 1 species
CUACGGGGUGCAGCAGUGGGGAAUCUUGGACAAUGGGCGCAAGCCUGAUCCAGCCAUGCCGCGUGAGUGAAGAAGGCCUUAGGGUCGUAAAGCUCUUUCGCCAGAGAUGAUAAUGACAGUAUCUGGUAAAGAAACCCCGGCUAACUCCGUGCCAGCAGCCGCGGUAAUACGGAGGGGGUUAGCGUUGUUCGGAAUUACUGGGCGUAAAGCGCGCGUAGGCGGAUUAGUCAGGCAGAGGUGAAAUCCCAGGGCUCAACCCUGGAACUGCCUUUGAUACUGCUAGUCUUGAGUUCGAGAGAGGUGAGUGGAAUUCCGAGUGUAGAGGUGAAAUUCGUAGAUAUUCGGAGGAACACCAGUGGCGAAGGCGGCUCACUGGCUCGAUACUGACGCUGAGGUGCGAAAGUGUGGGGAGCAAACAGGAUUAGAUACCCCCGUAGUC